rnacentral:tRNA from 1 species
GGAGGGGUGGGUGAGUGGCUGAAACCAGUCGUUUGCUAAAUGACCGACCGUCUAAAAAACGGUCCGAGGGUUCGAAUCCCUCCCCCUCCGCCA